GUCAUUUUAAAGCUGAGAAAAGAGGGAAAAUCUAAAGAAAGCAUUGGUAUACUAGCAACUGGACAUGGAACAGGUUGGCCAAGGAAAACAACAACAUAUGAUGACGGAAUCAUUGUGAGAUCUGUGAAGAAAUCCCCCAAAACCACAGUCAGUGACAUCAUCAACAAGCUCCACAGGGCAGGGGUGAAGGUAUCACAAUCCUACAUUUGAAGAAGUCUUUGAGAGCAGAAUUAUAGUGGCCAUACCACAAGAUACAAACCACUGAGCAGUAGGAAUCAGAAAUCCAGACUGGAAUGUGCACAUAAAUACAGAGAUUAGACAGAAAAGUUCUGAAACCAAGAUUAACCUCUGCCAAAGUGAUGGAAAGGCCAAAGUGUGGAGAAAGAAAGGAGAUACAAGCUCAUCAAGCACGGUGGAGGUAGUGUCCUGGCCUGGGCUUGCAUGGCUGCUUCUGGAACAGGCUCACUAAUCUUUAUUGAUGAUGUAACUCAUGAUGUUAGCAGCAGAAUGAAUUCAGAAGUCUACAGAAACAUUUUGUCUGCCAAUUUACAGAGAAAUGCAGCCAAAUUAAUUGGGAGUAACUUCAUGCAUUAUGCAACAUCAUGCAGCACAAUGACCAAAACACACUGCCAACAUAACAAAGGACUUCAUCAAGGGAAAAAAGUGGAAGGUUUAGACUGGCAAAGACAAUCACCGGACCUUAACCUAAUUGAGCAUGCAUUUCACCUCCUGAAGAGACGAUUGAAGGGAGAAACCCCGUUAUACAAACAACAACUGAAAAAAGCUGCGGUUCAAGCCUGGAAAAGCAUUACAGAAGAAGAAUGUAACAGUUUGGUGAUGUCACUGGUUCACUGGCUUGAUGCAGAUAUUGCAAGCAAGGGAUAUGCAACUAUAAUAAUGGAAAAUAAAAAACAUCAGAAAUGAAGAACCCCCUUCUAUAAGCUGGUUUGUACAAACUUUUGAUGGGUAGUGUAUAUAUCAUUGCAUCUGGGGUGGUGGUAGCUCAGUGUUUAAGACGUUGUACUUCUGAUCAGAAGGUUGUGAGGUCAAAUCCCAGUACCACCAAAGUCACUGCUGGGCACUUAACCCUCCACUGCUUAGUUGUAUAAAUUAGAUAAAUGUAAGUCUGCCAAAUGCCAUAAAUGUAACAGAAGCAUAUGUGAGUUGUUCAAUUAUUGUACAGAGAAUCCUUCAGACCAUUCCAGUGCCUUCUUUGAAUACUGGUUUUAAAAAUGAGUAUAAACUGGAGAUAUAACCAUAAUCUGAGGAGGUAGUGUGUCAUUUCACUGUGUGUGUGUUUGUGUCACAGAGAAGUGCACUGGAGUCACUAAGGCUGGAAAUAUCUUACUGGAGACAGACAUGACUCACCAUGCAGAGCAAUACAAGGUAUUAUCCUGGGCCGUGACUCUGCCAUUGUGUCUCAUAAAACAAGUCCUUCUCCUAAUGAAUGCUCCAAAUUUGACCCUAAGCCUUGUUUUUUAUUUUAUUUUAUUUUAUUUCAAUCUAUGAGGUAUUUUAGAAGAGUUAGUAUGCCAACCUAGCUGACAAUGCUGUGGUUCACAAUUUUAAAAAUGCCUUUCCACGAUUUUUGGCUGAGGUUGCAACUGCAGUUAAAUGGUAAUACAAGACCAGUAAUGUUUGUGUGAAUGACUAGAACAAAUCUUUUCUCAGUUCAGAAGCAACCUACUCUCAUGAUCAUGCCCUUUCUGUUAUUUGUUUUGUGAGCUGUUGUUGCUAUUCUCUUAAAAAUGGAAUUGAAUCCCUUGUUUUACCUAUAAUUACAUAUAAUAUAUAGUAUUAUACAUGACAUGAUUCACCCACCAGACCCCUUGUUUAAACUAAAUGCAUUUUAUCACCCAACAUUUUUUACACAAGAGUCUUUGCAGAAAGCGUAGCCCUUUUCCAUGAACUUAGAUGGAAGCCUGCAGGCUGUUUUAGAAUCCAAAAGCAUAUUAUACUGUAUGCCAUUUAAGAUGCACCCUAUAUUCAGCUUUGGCUGCUCUUGAUUGAAUUGAGUCCACUGAGAAUCCACUUGGGUGUCUGUUUCUAAUGCCCUACUUAUGAAUACAAUAAGAGAGAACUCAUCAAAAAAGCAUCAUCUGACAUGCAAGACUAUGAUUUUAGGAAAUGAUAAAAUACUAAAUCUGUAUAAUAUGUACAUUUUUAUUUUUAUAUUUUUAAAUGAGAAACACA
ensembl:lncRNA